UGCUGCUGCGGCGCCGGCCAGGCGGACGCCCGGGACAGGGCGGCUGCGGCGGACGACGGCGUCGUGUCCCGCAUGAAGCACCACGUGCGGCGGGUGCUGGCCAACCUCAGCGCCAUGAUGCCCUGCGUCGCCCUGGGCGGCUCCAAGCUCCCCAAGGUCACAGUUUCCCACCACGACGCAGAGAUCCCCUUCAACCCCAGCUUCAUCGAGCCGCCGUCCGCCGCCUGGGUCUCCGACAGCUCCUUCUCCUCCUUCGAC